CAGCCGCCGCGGUAAUACAGAGGGUGCGAGCGUUAAUCGGAUUUACUGGGCGUAAAGCGUGCGUAGGCGGCUUUUUAAGUCGGAUGUGAAAUCCAUGAGCUUAACUUAGGAAUUGCAUUCGAUACUGGGAAGCUAGAGUAUGGGAGAGGAUGGUAGAAUUCCAGGUGUAGCGGUGAAAUGCGUAGAGAUCUGGAGGAAUACCGAUGGCGAAGGCAGCCAUCUGGCCUAAUACUGACGCUGAGGUACGAAAGCAUGGGGAGCAAACAGGAUUAGAUACCCCAGUAGUCCCUGUCUCUUAUAC
rnacentral:rRNA from 1 species